rnacentral:lncRNA from 13 species
GAUCACUUGAGCCCAAGAGUUCAAGACCAGCUUGGGUGACAUGGUGAGACCUCAUCUCUACAAAAAACAAAACAAUAACAACAAACCCAGAAAUUAGCCAGGCAUGGAGGCACAUGCCUGCAUUUCCAGCUAUUUCAGAGGCUGAGGUGGGAGAAUCACUCACUGGAGCCCAGAAGGCAGAGGUUGCAAUAAGCUGAGAUCAAACCACUGCAUCCCAGCUUGGGUGACAGAGUGAGACCCUGUCUCAAAACAAGCCACAAAAACAAAAACCAAUUUUAAAAAUAGAACCUAAGUUUGUCAUUCAUCAAAAAAAGUGUUAAUUGGUUUUGGAUUUUCUUUUUUUUUUUUUUCUUUUUUUUGCGACGAAGUCUUGCUGUGUCACCUACACUGGAGUGCGGUGGCAUAAUCUCAGCUCACUGCAACCUCUGCCUCUUGGGUUCAAGUGAUUCUCCUGCCUCAGCCUCCUGAGUAGCUGGGAUUACAGAUGCAUGCCACCAUGCCCAGCUAAUUUUUGUAUUUUAGUAGAGACAGGGUUUCACAAUGUUGACCAAGCUGGUCUUGAACUCCUGACCUCAGGUGAUCUACCUGCCUUGAGUGCUGGGAUUAUAAGUGUAAGCCACCAUGCCUGGCAAAAUUUACAUUUUUUUUGGCUAUGUUAUUUCUAAUAGAUAUAGAUUUACUUCCAGUUUAAGAGAAAAAGACAUUGUUUGUGCAUGAUCGAGUAUGGUUUUUUUUUUGUUUGUUUGUUUUUUUUGAGAUGGAGUUUCGCUGUUGUUACCCAGACUGGAGUGCAAUGGCACGAUCUCGAAUCACCGCAACCUCCGCCUUCUGGGUUCAAGCAAUUCUCCUGCCUCAGCCUCCCGAGUAGCUGGAACUACAGGAAACUGCCACUGCCUGAACCGACACAGCCUGAGCAGAAUGUUCCAGGGCACAGAGAGACACCAGCACAGCCAGUCAAGGUACGACUUCAAGCCUUGAACAUGAUAUUAUUGGAGUUCAGAAAACAAUACCCCAAACUGAAGACCUCAGAAGCAGCCUUACUAGGGGGAGUCAGAGCAAGAUGGCCAAAUAGAACCCUUCAGUGA